rnacentral:rRNA from 1 species
UACGGGGGGGGCAAGCGUUGUUCGGAAUUACUGGGCGUAAAGGGCUCGUAGGCGGCCAACUAAGUCAGACGUGAAAUCCCUCGGCUUAACCGGGGAACUGCGUCUGAUACUGGAUGGCUUGAAUCCGGGAGAGGGAUGCGGAAUUCCAGGUGUAGCGGUGAAAUGCGUAGAUAUCUGGAGGAACACCGGUGGCGAAGGCGG